UGUUGAUUGUGAAAUGCCAGUUGAAGCAUAUGUCCUGCGAGCUUAGGGGUGCUACAAGUUGACCACUGCAGCAGUAAAGAUGACUCUGAAGAAUGGCGUGGGUUGGUUCCUUUCAAAUGCACUUGAGCAGUGGUCUCCAACCACAGGGCCACAGAGCUGGAGCUGGAUCUACCAUGAAAGACUUGUGAAUCCAGGAAGAGAGACUGACUGGGCAACAUGUUAUUCAGGUGGGAACAUCCAGUUGCGGGAAAACAAGCUUAACACGCCCACUGAUUCUACAUUAUGCUCCUACCUCCCGGCAGCCUCUCCAGGCCCAGAACUUUCUCCAGUCAGCCUCUACAGACCAAGCUCAUGACUCACAAUGGCCUAUUUAGGCCCAUACCCUACGUCACGGCAGCCUCCGCAGAUGAGCCUACUGCCUCACAACAGCCUCCACAGGCACAGCUCCAUCGUUACAAUGGCCUCUUUAGACCCAGCUCCUGCCUCCCAGCCUUCUCUCCAGGCUCUGAACUUUCUCAGGUCUCCCUCUGUUGUCCAAGGCUGGAGUGUAGUAGUGCUAUCGCAGCUGACUGCAGCCUCAACCUUCCAGGCUGAAGCGAUCCUCCCACCUCAACCUCCCACGUGGCUGAGACUACAGGUGCUUGCCACUAUGCCCAACUAACAUUUGGAAUUUUCGUAUACGU
rnacentral:lncRNA from 1 species